UACGGAGGGUGCAAGCGUUAUCCGGAAUCACUGGGCUUAAAGGGCGCGUAGGCGGGUGGUCAAGUCAGGGGUGAAAUCUUUCGGCUCAACCGGAAAAGGGCCUCUGAUACUGGCCAUCUCGAGGGAGGUAGGGGCAUGUGGAACUUCCGGUGGAGCGGUGAAAUGCGUAGAUAUCGGAAGGAACGCCGGUGGCGAAAGCGACGUGCUGGACCUCUUCUGACGCUGAGGCGCGAAAGCCAGGGGAGCAAACGGG
rnacentral:rRNA from 1 species